rnacentral:lncRNA from 1 species
UUGCCUCUUUCAAACUUCAAACUUUAGAAAUCCAUCUCCAAGUAUGAAUCCAAGAAUAGCAACAAAAUCAAGAACCGUUCAAGGAGAAACCUUUUUCUCUUCUUCAAAUAGAAGUGGGAUCACAAUGGCAAUUGGCUCCAUUGCGAUCGCGACAACUUCGAUAUUCAUCAAGAGCCAAAGCCUUCAAAGCCUCCUUUUCAAGCCCUCUUCUCUUCUAAAGGUUUGGGUUUUGAUUUGGUUUUUAACCUUAGUCAUAUUUUAGGGUUUUGUCUAAUCGGAUUGUGUAGAGAUAUUUGAUUUUUGUGGAAAUUUUAUUUUUUUUUUUGUUUUCUUUCUAAUUUGAGAUUUGGUUUGAUGAAUAAACUUUCAUCCUGUGUUGUUCCAAGCGUGAAUCCGUCUCAAGUCAUAGACCUAUUCAUUUUUUUUUUCCAACAUUUUCUUCUGAAGGCCAUUAUGAUCUCUAAAAAUUUUCUUAGUAUUCUUUGCUUUUUUUAGAAAAGUGUAUGAGAGGCAUGAGGAUUGUGAAUUUGUUCAUUGGGGAUUUUUCUGGAUUGAUGUAAUGUUGUUGGUUUUGGAAAAAUCAACCUCCCCAUCCAAACAUAAAUACACAUUCGAGUUGAGACAAUGUAGGGAUGAAUUUAUCAUUUUUUUUUUUUCUAUAAACGAGGAUGGGUACUCAUCAACAUGCCCGAUCCCGGGUUUUGGAUAGGGAUGGGUAAGGAUUAUAUAACUGGGACAAGAAUGGGAUAGGGGUGCCUUGUCCCAAACUCGCCCAUUGCCAUCCUCGUUGUUCCCAACACUUUUUUCCAUUUCCUUCCAAUAAAGGAGCCUCUUUACCUUAGUAGAGUCUUUUUAAUAGAAGAGGACAACACCCAAGGAACACCAAAAAAGGAGAACAAAAGCUUCCACAACAUUCAUGCCUUGAUUGAUUCCUCUUUGAUAUGACAAAGAAGACAUAUCUAUAUAUAUAUAUAUAUUUUUUUUAUAAGUAACAAAGAAAACAUAUAUUAGCCAAUUGUCAUCCUCUCCUUUGAAGUUGAUUUAGAGUCAAUUUUUUUCCCCAAGGUGCCUCAUAAGCAAAAAAACACGCUUAGGAGGAACCCACACAUUCCAAACAACCCUAACUGGAAAAGAUAUUGAUCUCCCAUGCUCUAGAAUAGUGUGAAGAGACUUAAUAGAGGAAGCUCCAUCUUUUGUCUCCAACCAAAUAAUGCUAUCCUUCUUGUCUCCAAUAACCACUUUAUCUUGCAGCCUUGACAAGAAACGCUUCAUUCCCUCAAUCUCCUAAUCAUUAAGAUGCCUAGAGAAGCUAGGGGACUAAACAACCCUCUCACCUAAUUGAGUCCAUAAAUUCGCUACCCAUGCCUCUUUUGAGCUUGCUAUGGCAAAUAAGGAAAAACAACUCUUAUAGGCUCUUCCCUACACUAAAUAUCCUUCAAAAAUUUCACUCUCUACCCAUUGCCAAUAGAAAAGGAGACUACUGUUAAUGAACUCCUCCAAUCUCCUUAUGGCCUUUCAUAAAUCAACCUCUUACACAUCUCUCACUUUCUUCAAAGACCAACCCCUUUCAUCCUCCCCAUAUUUCCCACAAACUAUUUGCCUUCUGAAAGCCUCCAUUUCCUUAGCAAAAUGUCGAUUCCAUUUACAAAGAAGGGCCUUGUUAAGAAAGGGGAGAUGCUUAACUCCCAAGCCCCCUUUUACUCUUAUUUGAACAAACAGUAGUCCAGUUCACUAAAUGAGGUUUUCUUUCUAAAGAACCACCACCCAAAUGGAAGUCCCUUUGAAUUGUUCCAAUCUCAACCUCACUAACCUCGACAUCUAGAAUAAUGACAUGAAGUAGAUAGGGAAACUAGAUAAGAUGCUCCAAAUGAGAGUGAGUCUCCCCCCCUUGGAAAUGUACUAUCUUUCCCACAUUGCCAAUUUUUACGGAAUUGCUCUUCCAUCCCGUCCCAAGUCGCCAAAUAGUUAUGAAAGGCACCUAACGAAAGCCCCAAAUAAGUGGAAGGAAGCUCACCCACUUUACAACUCACUUCAUAGGCCAACUUAUUCAAGUUCUCCACCCUCCUCACUGGGAUAAGCUUGCUCUUGCUAAGAUUAAUUUUCAAGCCUGAAAUGACCUCAAACCACAUGAGUAACCAACUUAAAUGGGUUGGUCAGUUUUGAGAGGCCUCACAAAACACCAAGGUAUCAUCAACAAACAACAUGUGGGAGACCUACAAUCCCUCUCUAACUCUACCAUUCACCUUAAAACUUGAUAAACAACCACCCUCCUUAGUGGACAGUUGAGUGCCUCCAUGGCUAGCACAAACAAAUACGGUGAAAGUGAUUCCCUUGUCUCAGACCUCUAAAGGUUUUAAAAAAACCUGAUGAGGUUCCAUCCAUUAGAAUCGAGAAACUUGAUGUUGAGAUGCACCAACUAAUCCAACAAAUCCACUUCUGACCAAACCCUAUUUUCUCCAACACUGAAAGCAAAAAAUCCUAACAAACAUGAUCAUAUGCCUUCUCUAUGUCAAACUUACACAACACUCCAAAAUUGUUGCUUUUUAACAUUGAGUCAAUCGUCUCAUUGGAUAUAAGCACCGCAUCUAAAAUUUGCCUCCACUCUACCAAAGCAUUAUGGAAUUUGGAAACCACUUUGCCCACCACCUUUUUAAGUCUAUUCGCCAAUGCUUUAGCUAAUAAAUUAUAAAGGCUACUCACGAAACUUAUAGGCCUAAAAUCUUUAAGAUCCUAUACUCCCUCAUUUUUAGGAACCAAAACUAAGAAAGUUGAAUUGAUACUUUUAACAAAUCUUCCUUGCAUAUGGAGGUUACUAAAAAAGCCCAUCACCUCUUCCUUCACAAAGUCCCAACUAAACUUCCAAAAUGUCAUUGAGAAACCGUUUGACCCUAGAGCUUUGUCCCUAUUCAGAUCUAAAAGGGCAUUGAACACCUCAUUCUCUACAAAAGGAUCCUCUAGCUUUGUUGCAUCUUGCCUAUUUAACCUGCCAAAAUUCAUACCCUUUUAUGCUAAGGUGCCACUUCUCUAGCUUUGACAAGAGGUUUUGAAAAGCCCGAACAAUCCCCUCCUUAAUCUCAGUCUCUUUUGUAAGACAAACCCCAUUAAUUUUUAUCUUACCCAAAGUGCUCCUUCUUUUGUUUGCAUUUGCCAUUUUAUGAAAAAACCUGGUAUUUCUAUCACCCUCUUUUAGCCAAACUUCCCUUGAUUUCUGCCUCUAGCUCAUUUCUUCCAAAAAAACCCAUUUCGAAAAUCCAACCUUGCUUGCUCUCUAGCAACCAUCUCCUUCAGAACUAAGGCCCCCAAUCUUUCUUUAAAAUCCUAGAAAACCCACUUGAUAAAGGGCCAAAUUCUUUCUUACUGAACCAUUCCACUCUAAAUAUCUGUCAAAUUCCAUUUGUCUAGCAUUUUAAAGGUCAACCUGACAAUGGCAAUUAACAACCUCAAAACCUGGCUCACGUCAUAAUCUCUAAAGUCUAGGCGUGGAACUCUUGAAGUGAUUUCAAUCUCAUAAGGUAUAUAAACGAACAAUGCAAUAAAUUAAUGACAAAGUCAAACUUAAAAAAAAAAAAUGGCUGUUCUGAAAAAAUGAUGACCAAGCCAUCUUCUUAUAAUAAACACUGUAAGUUGUAGAAUUCUUACAAUCAUGGAUCAGAGAAUUAGGUUUGUCAAAGGAACCUUUAUCUUAUAAUUCUUCUAUUCUCUAUAUUUUGUAGAAUUUAUGCAUGCCCGUGUCCUCUUCUUUGUCUUGUAGGCUUCAUCACAAUUUUUCAGACUGAGUAGCCUAUCAAAUAAAUAAAUAAAAAUAAAAUAAAAUUGAGGCUGAAUGGCCAUGAGGCUCUCCUCUUUUAACCAAUGGUUUUUCCAUAUUUGUAAGGUUGCUAAUAUUUAUCUCUACAUCCAAGGUACUUAUGGAUUACAGUAGGUUAAAUUAGUGGCCAAGUGUAAUAACAUAGUUCAUAAUUCCCCAUUUAUCAUCCUACUAUCUUUCCUGUUCUUAAAGCUUCUUUGCUUUGGCAAUUUAGACAGGACCUGUAUAGCAUUCUAAUUUGAUUGUUUUCUUGCUAGUACACAAAAUUGAAAUUGUCAAAUUUUGUGGCAAAAGAUAGUGUGUCUGUAAAACCAUCCAAACACAAUGAGUUAUGUAACAGCUAACAAGAUAAGAUAUUUAUCAUGUUUGAUAGCAAAUUUGUGUGAUAAGAACUGGAAAAGGCAUAAUAGAAUCAGGUACCCUAGAAUUCCUUGGUCAAUCAAUCUUUAAAUUAGUUGAAAAUAUAAAAUUGCUAGGAUGCAAUAUUGUAGGCUUGUCACUUAUACACCUCUGCCUGGAUCACCACAUCAUACACCUUUCAAGAAUCUUAAAGGACAAAUGUUCCUGAGGCUCCACUUGUUGUAUGCACCAGCUGGAUUUCUAUUCUUUUUCAACACAUCCCAAAUAAAAUGACCAAAAUCAAACACCAAUGUUUUUCUGUAUUUAUCAGCAAAAGCUUCAUACUUCUACAUGACUAAUCUCAAUGCCUCUUCACUUCAUUAUGAAGAAGACAAAUAUAAUCAAUCAUGUUCUCAACUUUUAUAUUGUUCACAAAUUUUGUCAGUGAUAAUAAAUUAAUACCCUCCUUUUUUUACAAAACAGGCUUAAUUUCCUCUUUAGAUGACACUAAAAUAAUGUUCUUACCUUUAUGGAAUGUGUAAGAAUUUAUCCAACUAUCAUGUCAUCAUCUUAUUGUCAUACUGCCACAACUCGCCAAAUGAGAGAUGGCAUGGAACUACAGCCAACACAUCUCACUGACCCUUAUUAGCAGGUUAAGAAUCAAUAAAUAAAGAAACUAAUCAUCAUUUACUAACACCUCAUAAAGGAAUAAGAAUCAUUUACUAACUAAUAGCUCAUAUGUUUUUUACAAGACCAUGAUACCUUGUAUGACUUAUGAUGUUUAUCAGGAUUCAACCUAAACUUGUCUACUACAUUUUGAGAAAUCAUGCUACCAUAAAAUUCCACUAUCAAUAAUCAAAUUGCACUCUCAAGUCCAAUUGCAAGUAGUAUGGUAUGCCAAUCUUUUUUGUUAUGAUACUUUGGGCUUAACAAACUCAUCUAUGCAACUAUAGACUCACCCUUGUCACCAUGUAAGAUAUCGUCAUCAUCCUCCUUGGGAUAAGCAUCAUAAAUAGGAUCUCCCUCAUAAUUUUUCCCAUAAACUAGUUCUUCUUUCUUAUGUAUCAGAAGCAACAAGGAUUUACACAUCAUAAAGAAUUUGCUUGUAUCAUAAUAUAAAAGAGUUAUCAAACUUAUUUCACUCUCAAGGUCAAAGUUAUAUUUUUUGUCAUGCCCCUUUACUAAAUGUUGUUUUUCUUUAUCGAUAUGACCACUUAUCAUUUUUAGACAACCCAUUAACUUAUGCCCUACCUUUCCACACUACUUCCUUUCAAAAUCUUCAUAGAGUUUAGCCUUUUGGUGAAUUUUAGUGUUGGAAGCUUACUUUCUAGUUCUUAACGCAUGUUGCUAUUGUAUUCCAGCCUUCAUGGCACUAUUUCAUGCAACCAUAAGGGUCAUCUCAUCUUAAAAGUGGCUUGCAUUAUUAAGGGACUACUGUCUGCAUGUGACUUGUGAAGUGCUCUUGUUUUGUUAUUCCACUACCACCAAAAAUCUCUAGGAGGUAUUCCAAAGGGACUAAAACAAAUAUAAGUUUAGGGCCUGUUGUAUACUAGCCUCGAACCAGUAAUAGAAUGCACUAUCAAUUCCUUGCUCUCCAAACAAAUCAUUUCAUGUAAUUAAUUGAUUGAAUUCUUCAGUGUAAUUUUCAAUACUAACCUCUGUGAAAAGAGAGAAAAGGGGGAAUCCCUAAUUAUUGUUAUUGAAAAACUGUAAAGAAUACACAUUGGACUUGGGUAUAUAUAUACAUGUUAGUGGGACCCACAAUACAAUAAGGAAAGAAAAGGAAAAGGAAAAGUAAAUAACCUAAAUAACUGUACACUAUCUAACACUCCCCCUCAAGCUGGAGCAUAUAUGUUAUAUGCACCAAGCUUGUUACAAAUGUAUUUAAUUCUAGGACCUCUAAGAGAUUUAGUAAAAAUAUCUGUUAGUUGAUCAUUUGAAUUGAUAAAACUAGUCGCCACACAUCCUGAUGCGAUCUUCUCUCUAAUGAAGUGACAGUCAACUUCAAUGUGUUUGGUCCUUUCAUGGAAGACUGGAUUGGAUGCAAUAUGCAAAGCGGCUUAGUUGUCACAGAUGAGCUUCAUCUGUUCAUCCUUUUCAAAUCUCAACUCCCGAAGAAGAUGUUUCAGCCAUAUGAGUUCACAUGUUGCCAGAGCCAUAGCUCGAUACUCGACUUCAGCACUAGAUCUGGCCACUACAUCUUGUUUCUUACUCUUCCAGGAUAUUAGGCUACCUCCAAUAAAAACACAAUACCCGGAAGUGGAACGUCUAUCUGUGGGUGAGUCAGCCCAAUCUGCAUCUGUGUAACCAACAACCUGGGUAUGACCUCUGUUCUCGUACAACACACCUUGGCCUGGUGUGCUUUUGAUAUAUCGAAGAAUGCGGAUUAUAACAUCCCAAUGGCUAUCACAUGGUGACUGUAGGAAUUGACUAACAAUACUUACAGGAAAAGAAAUGUUUGGACGAGUAAUGGUGAGGUAGUUCAGUUUACCUACAAGUCGCCGAUAUCUCCCAGGAUCUCCUAAAGGCUCUCCCUGUCCUGGUAUAAGUUUGACAUUUGGAUCUAUAGGAGUGUCUACCGGUUUACAGUCUAACAUACCGGUUUCUUCCAAGAUGUCUAAAGUAUACUUCCUUUGGGAAAGAACCACACCGGAAAUGGAUUGAGCUAUCUCAAUCCCUAAGAAAUACUUGAGUUUCUCCAAGUCUUUAGUCUGAAAGUGGGUGAAAGGUGUUGCUUUAGUUUCUGAAUACCAUUCUGAUCACUGCCUGUAAUGACGAUGUCGUCCACAUAAACUACCAGAUAAAUACACUGUCCCGAAGAGUUAUGAUGAUAGAAAACGGAAUGGUCUGCUGUACUGCGGAACAUGCCAAACUCCUGAACAACAGAACUAAAACGGCUAAACCAUGCUCGAGGAGAUUGUUUCAAGCCAUAUAGAGAACGGCGUAACCUGCACACUAAACUAGACUCCCCCUGAGCAACAAAACCAGGUGGUUGCUCCAUAUAAACUUCCUCAGCAAGAUCCCCAUGAAGGAAAGCAUUUUUAAUAUCUAACUGAUAAAGAGGCCAAGAACGCAUAGCAGCCAUGGAGAGCAAUAGACGAACAGAAUCUAUCUUGGCAACAGGAGAGAAAGUGUCACCAUAAUCAGAACCAUAAACCUGAGUAUAGCCUUUAGCAACUAAGCGGGCCUUACGGCGAUCAACCUGACCAUCAGGGCCAACCUUAACUAUGUAGACCCAACGACAACCAACUGUAGAUUUACCAGAGGGUAAAACAACAAGAUCCCAAGUGCCAUUGGAGUGUAAAGCAGUCAUUUCAUCUACCAUUGCCUGUCGCCAGCCUGGAUAGGAAAGAGCCUCGGGGGUGCUCUUGGGAAGAGAAACAGAAGAUAUAGCAAAAACAAAUGCAAAAUAGGGUGAAGAUAAUCGAUGGUAACUCAAAAAAUUGUAAAUGGGAUGAGGAUUACGAGUAGAGCGAUUACCUUUCCGAAGAGCAAUGGGUAAGUCAGCAGAAGGAGGCAGAGUCGGGGCAGGAGAAGUCGAAGGGAUAGGAAGUGAGUCAGCAGGUACCUUGGCCAAAGAAGGAGGAACAGCGACACGAUGACGGCGAUGAUAAACCUAAAGUGGGCGAGAAGGCACUGCAUCAGGUGGGAAGAUAAUGGGAAGGGGUAAGACUUCAGAAACAGAAAGAGACUCAGAGGUGGAGAAGAACGGUGAGUCCUCAAAGAAAGUGACAUCAGUGGAGAAAAAGUAGCGAUGAGUCUCAAAGGAAUAACAACAAUAACCAUUUUGAAGUCUGGAAUAUCCCAAGAAGAUGCAUUUUGUGGCUCUGGCAGAAAGUUUGUCCUGUCCAGAAGUGAGAAUAUGAACAAAGCAAGUACAACCAAAAACACGAGGAGGAAGGAAAUAAAGUGGUUGGUCAGGGAAAAGAAGGGAAUGAGGAAUCUGAUCGUGUAAUACAGAUGAUGGCAUACGAUUAAUCAAAUAACAUGCUGUAAGAACAGCGUCCCCCCAAAAAUGAAAAGGAACAUGACUAUGGAGAAGAAGAGUACGAGUUGUCUCAACAAGAUGUCGAUUCUUACGUUCAGCUACCCCAUUUUGUUGAGGAGUAUGAGCACAAGAAGACCGAUGAAUGAUCCCAUGUUGAGACAUAAAUGAAGUAAAUGGUGCAGAAAAAUAUUCUCUGGCAUUGUCAUUGCUCAACACACGAAUGGAAAUAUUGAACUGGGUUUGGAUUUCAACAUAAAAUUUAUGGAAAAUAGAGAAUAACUCAGCUCGAUUUUUCAUUAAAAAUAACCAAGUACAUCGAGAAUAGUCAUCAAUGAAAGUGACAAAAUACUGAAAUCCUAAAGUAGACGCGGUCCGACAAGGACCCCAAACAUCAGUAUGGACAAGUUCAAAAGGAGACUUUGCCCGAUUAUUCAAACGCUUUGGAAACGAGACACGAGUAUGUUUCCCAAGCUGACAGGACUCACACGCAAACGACAACAAAGAUGAAAAACUAGGGACCAUUUUCUGGAACUUGGAUAGACUAGGGUGGCCCAGGCGACUGUGGAUGAGGAGGGGAGCAUCAGUGGAAAUGCAAACUGCAGGAGUUGAAGGCGAGGUGAGGUGAUAGAGGCCUUGAGACUCACGUCCUAUGCCAAUCGUCUUCCCCGUACUCCGGUCCCGCAUGGUCACAAAUUUAUCAGAGAAAGUGAUAGAACAGUUAAGAGUGAAUUAUUUUGCUGAUGAAAAUAAGAUUAAAAGGACACUCAGGGGCAUAAAGGACAGAAUGGAGAGGUAGGGAAGGAAGAGGAUGAGCGAAACCAAAACCUUUAGCCAUAGUUUGGGAACCAUUAGCUAAAGUAACAGUAGGUAAGGCAGAGGUAGUAGUAAUAGAAGAGAAAAGAUCCUUAUUACCAGAUAUGUGAUCAGAAGCGCUAGAAUCUAGAAUCCAAGGUCCAAGAGAAGAUGUGUGGAUAAGACAAGCAGAAGCAUUACCAGUCUGGGCAACAGAAGCAACAGAAGCUGACUUGGUGGCCUGAUAGCGGAGAUAGUCAUCAUACUCACUGUCAGUGAGGGAAAUACCCUGAGAUGUGGAGGAACUGGGAGGCUGAGGCGACUAAGGAUCAGAUGACUGGGCCACGUGGGCAGUGCGGGGAGGCUGCCCAUGUAACUGAUAACACCGAUCACGAGUGUGGCCAAGCUUAUUGCAAUAGUUGCAAUGAGGACAUUGGCCUCUACCUCGGUUACCACUGCGUCCUCCUCGAGAGUUAGUUUGAGAAACUAACACAGAAGAAUCUGAAGUGUUAUCAGAUGGCAAAGUCUGAGUAGAGGAGAUACGGAGGAGGCGAGCAAACACAUCAUUCAAAGAUGGAACGGAGGAACUGCCAAGAAUCUGAUCGCGGACGGUCUCGAGAUCUGGACGGAGGCCAAUAAGCGUAAGAACCAUGAAGAACUUGUCAAUCUGUGUUCGUUGAUCCCCAACAUCAGUAGUAAGAGGCAUCACGGUCAAGAAUUCCUCCUUAAGAGAGGCAAUCUGGCCAAUAUAAGUAGAUAAAUCCAUGUCUUGUUGUCUGACAUUGACAAUAGAAGAAGCCACCUUAUAAAGACGUUGGAUAUCAUUCGUGUAUAGCCCUUUUGCCUGAUUCCAAAAUUUAAAGCAUGUUUUGUAGGCCCGAAAAUGAAGCAGAAUCUUAGAAUCAACUGAUUCCCAUAACACACUACAUAACUGUGCAUUUAUCUUCCUCCAUUAUACUCUGUCAACCUCAGGGAUAUCCGCCUCCUACGUAACAAGGUGAUCCUCAUAACCUUGACCCAUAAACCAAAACUCCACAGAGGCAGACCAGGACAAAUAAUUUUCACUGCCAACCAAUUUCUUCGAAGUAAUCAUAGGAGAUCCAGAUAUGACAGAGGAAAAAGUGGAACUUUUAGUAGCCAUAUCUACUUAUCUGGAUAACGAAAUAUGUUUGGAUCGAAGAGAGCCCUAAUACGGCUUCAAAUCGCGGCUGAAAGAAGAAAAACCGAAGGUCCGCGACUGUAAGAGACCAAAUAGUAAAGAAAAACAAAUGUGGCACUACUGGAAGGGUAGAAGAACACUUCCUAAGACACGUGCAGGGCUCGGGGUGGAGAGGAAGUCACUGGAGGUCGCCAGAAAGUCUGUUUAGAGGGCCGGCGGAGACAAAAAACCCCAAAAAAUGCACUUUCAGGGCUCGGAUGACAUAAGCACAGAUGGAGGGUGGCUAGACGAUGUCAGGUGAGGCUGGAGGUGGAGGCGCGUGGCCGAAAAGUGCUCCAUGUGCCCUCACGCGCCGGAGAAGAAACGCGCGUGGCUGGCGCGUGGAUGAGAUUCUCCCUCCGGUGCUUUGAGAAAACUUGAAGAUCUCCUCCUUGCGCACCUAAUGGUAUGGUCGGUGUUGGAAAAGGACUGCACCGAAAAAAGGUCGCCAGAAAAGUUGCCGGCGGUGAGGGUUUUCUGACGGCAAUACGAUUGAUCGGAAAGCUUUAGGAGAUGGGAAGGGUGACCGGAAUGAAACACCGUCACUGAAAGAUUUCCCAGAAUGGAUUCACGGAUAAACCAGAAAUAAUUAGGGUUUUUUUCUCCCUAGGCUCUGAUACCAUGUGAAAAGAGAGAAAAGGGAGAAUCCCUAAUUAUUGUUAUUGAAAAACUGUAAAGAAUACACAUUGGACUUGGGUAUAUAUAUACAUGUUAGUGGGACCCACAAUACAAUAAGGAAAGAAAAGGAAAAGGAAAAAUAAAUAACCUAAAUAACUAUACACUAUCUAACAACCUCUUUACUUCAGAUCAUUCAAAACGUUGAUUCAUUGUGUGACCAUAAUAAUUAAAAGGCAAUUUUUUUUUUUCAUUUUUCUUUAUUUUUUCAAUCCAAAUUUCUAGGCAUAUCUCUAAACUCUCUCGUGGUACAUAUUUAUCUGUGCUAUGCCAAAACUUUUCCUUUUAACCAAAUAACAAGCUUGACCUUCUUAUCAUCAAGUAUCUCAUGAUAUUCAAAGAUGCGCUUAGUGGUGUUAAGCUAAUCGAUAAAUUUUUGGCCUUAAACACUUAUACAUUUAAGAAAACUACACUUAAUAUUCUCCUUCCAAUGUUGGUUAGCCAGUUGUUGGGUAAGGUAUAGUGUUGUAGGAUGGAGAAAGGACUCUCCAUGACAAUCCCAUAACUAGACACAUUGUCUACCAUUGGGAGAGUGUUGUUAACCAGCGGGUUACUAAUGCAUUGACCAGCUGUCAAGUCAAUGUCUCAACUUGUCUUUAUAGAAAGUCUAUUUCAUAAAGUUAUCAUAUCAAAAAGGUUUUGAAGAUACUGAUAUGGUUUCUUUGACAUUAUUCAUUCAGUGGAUUCAGGCUUUCUCAAUACUGGUAGGGGAUGUUUAUGCGUAGGGGGCUCAGAUAAGCUCCUCCAAAAACUUCUAACCUUUUCCCUCAAUGGUGAUAAAUUGAAGACAUAAACUCUACAAUGACCAUUGUAGAAAUUCUACUUCACAAGGAGAAAUUUUUGCCUUUUUGAACUAGUCUCUUCAUGAGCAUGCAAUCUCACUUGGGUGCAAACAAGUUUCAACCAAAGCUGGACCUUUGAUACCUAUAAAGAAAAUAAAAACAUAGACAUAUUCGGGAAACAACAUGGGAUGACUUGGUAGUUGAAACCAUCCAAUGUUAUUUUGUUUAAAUAUAGUGGACUUUAUAUGGACAAGGAGAACUCUUAUUCUUCAUCUGGAGCUCAUUGAAGUCAAUAGUUUUGAUGGAAGGAGAGGAACAAACAUACUUUCAAUGAUUCCCAUUGAUAAACUUGAAGAAGUGGUUCUUGUACCUUUAUCUUUGUGUGCAUUGGGGUUGGAGGUUGGAGGUUUUUAAAAAGCUGGUGAUUUUGGUAUUCCUACAUGGCUUGUCCUUCCUAAUUGAGAGUCUUUUAGGACAUACAGUUUGUUCCCUCUGUUCUACCUUUUCUUCAACAAAAUAUUCUAUUCAUCAGGGAAGAAAUUUGUUUGAUGAUACAUCAGUCUAAGCUAAUUAAGAAGUUCCUUAUCAUGCUAAGUUUGAGGGGGUGGAAGAUUGUUGUGAAGGGAAGUUCAGAGAGCCUUCAAAAAGGUGUGGAAUGAAGGGGGAAGGGGCUACAAGUUGGAGUUGUGCAGCAACAAAGCUGGAAGGUUUCUGUUGUGUUCAGUUGCAUGCAUAAAGGAAAAAAGGUUUUCCUUGGUUUUUCUAGAAGGAAAGGCUCCCUAAGGGGUUGGAAGAUUCUUACCUCAAAUCUUAGGAAUUGGGGUAGUCCCUGUGUCUAGGCCUUUGGAGGAGUCAAAGGAGCAGGUUAGGCAUCGGGAGGAAAAGAGAGGCGAUAAUCUGUUUAAGGAAGCUUCUUUUGUAGAUGUGUCGAACUGAGGCAAGAGGGAGUUGGGCAAUGAAGUGUGGGUUGAGAGUGAGUCAAGAGAGGUAUUAAGUAACUUGGGGUUUCUUAAGAAGUGUCUAGUGGGGAGGUGGGAUGGUUCUUCAAACCGGUUGCCAACUUUGGAUGCACUAAAUUUGUGGGCUCGACAUUUUGAAAGGGGAUUUGAAUCUACUUUUUUUGGGAGGCAAUCUCAUUUUAUUUGAGUUUGAAAAUGUUCUGAGGUCAAAAGGGUUUUGUUUUGGGGUCUAGUAUGUUUAAGGGAAGAAGAUUGCAGCAGGAUUGGUGGAAGUCGGAUCUUGGUUGCUUCAAAGAAGGUGCCUGCAUCAGUGAAGUGUGGGUGAGGGUGUUGGGUCUACCAAUGCAUCUAUGGGAAAAGAGUUCUUUAAAGGAUGGGUGAUGCCUGAGGAGGUUUUAUGAUGAUGGAUGUAGAGGCAGAGGAGAGGCAUCACCUGAAAUGGGCUAGAUUACUCGUUAAAUCUAGUGGAAAAAAGGUGUCUAAUCAGUUAAAGAUUGUGGACAGAGACAAUGUUUUUGUCAUCCAUUUGUGGUGGGAAGUUCCGCCAUGGUUGUCAACGAUGGUUUCAAAGAGGAGUUGCAAAAGUCUAGAGUUAGAGAAGGAAGUUCACAUGCGGUUAGGAAAGUGGAGGUGAAAGAAGGGAGAUGUGUUGUAGAUGUAAUGCAGAAAGAGAUGACUGAGUAGCAGGCCUUAAGGGUUGUGCCUGGUCUCUUAGUGAAAGAUAUGGAGAAGCGUGUGCAGUCAAAGUCAGGAAACAACUUAGAUGGGGAGCUUCUUAGGCCUCCUUGCAGGUCAUUGGGCCAUAAGGCUUUAAAUGAAUUGGAUGCUGGUGAAGGGAGCCCAUGUUUCUUCUAGGGCCUGCCGAAAACCUCUUCUUUAAGUUUGUCCAAAGGGAGCCAAGUUGGGCUUCCUAAGUCUAGGCGAGGGUAGGAGCUAGGUUGGCCCAUGUCUUUUGGAACCCUAGUUUUUAGUGCCUAAGAAGGGCGUCAGAGGAACCCUAAUGUUGGCGAUUUUGCUUCCUAUUUGGUGUUCUUUGCCAAUCCCCUCUAAAGGUGGCGAUUUAAAGUUCGAUAGGGUGGGUUUCAAGUAUGGAUGAAGCCUUGAUGGCACAAGCAAUAGGCUUCAAAGGUAGGUCUCCCCCUUCACCUCCUUCUUUUUUGGCUAGGUCUCUCGCUUUCGAUGUUGGGUCAGCAUGUCAUGCAAGGGUGACGCCUCCCUCGGGGACUCUAAUUUAUAGUUCUCGACCUCUUCAAAUGAUGCUCCAAGAUGGAAGGAUGUUGGAUCUUACAGGGAGUGGAGAGAAGUGUCCUUCAGGUAAGGAGUUGGUGAGCAAGUCAUGGAGGCCUAUUGCUUGUUAGAGGGGGAGGAGCUUACUCUGCGAGUCUUCCCAGUAAGUUUGCUGAUUUUAGUAAUUUUUUAGGGUUGCUAGUGGUGGGAUUUGAAAAUGAAAUUACUUUCCUUUUGAGGAAAAUAAAGUUAAGAAAAGGAUGUGAGAUUAAGGUCUCAAGGGGAAGUAGGAAAUUCUUGUCUACUCGUUUGGAGAGGGAAAUUCGAAAGCUAGAAUGUCCAAUGAAUUACAAUUGCUCUCCUCUUUCUAUCAGGGGAAAAGGGGGAUAGCAAUGGGGUUUCAGUUCUCUCUCUAUGAGGUCGCUUUCUUCACCCCUAACUUGGUUUAUGGUUUUUGGUUGCAGAAGGGCUCUUAAGUGGUUUCUUGUCCAUCCUAGGCUUUAAUUGUUUCUUGCGUGGUAGGUUUUGGGUAUUUCUUGCCAGGUCCGUCCAGUUUUGUUGGGCGUGGGAUUGGAUGAUGUUAGGGUGGUCAGUUUUAGCUCUGCCCUUUUCUUUCUUGCUAGCUAUCACACACACAAAAUCUAGCACCCAAUUUUUACGUAUGUGAGGUGCUUAACCACCCCUCUAAGCCACCCUUCCAACAACCCACACAAGAUUAAAUCAAAGAGCCCACACAAGCACACACGAGUUUACAGGGCACCACCCCCAACUUGUAUUUUAUUACUAUCCCGAAUAAGAAUACAAGACACAGAUUAGCAAGGCUCCCACAAUAGCAUUGACGAGAUCAUGAUCUCUCAAGAUCUCUCUCUCUAGAUCCCUCUGUAUGAUUAUGUGAAUAUAAAAGUGCUCAAGGAGGUUUUCCCAUCCCUUUUUUAUAGAGUGGCUAUCACCCACUCCUUAUUGGACUAGAACUCCUCAUCCUAGUUCAACUAGGACUCUUCCUGAUAUGCCAUGACACCGACCAUUCCCACUAGGACUCUGAGUCUUUCUCAGACUACAAUUAUAAUCACAAUGGAAAUAAGGACUCCUACUCAUUCUCAAGUUUUCUUGCUUCGGGACUUUAUCUCCUUGUGCAUCAAGACUCUGCUUCACAUCUGAACUAGGAGUCUCGUGCAUUAGGAGUCUUCUUCAAGCAUUAGGACUCAAUCUCCUACUCUAACUAGGAGUCUCAUGCAUCAAGAGUCUCUCUCCUCAUGCUGCAGGCCAUGCAUAUAUAUAACUUACGUGUUGUCCAAGCUCUCUUUUUGGGAUCACUCAUCUAAGUCGUCUCAUGUGCGCAGCUCAUGCACUUAGCUUGUGCGUAUCCCAUGCACUCAGCUUGUGCGUGUUCCGUGCACUUCCUGUGCGCGUGGCCUACGUGCACGUGGCUCCAACCGGCCAAGUGUUGGAGCCCUUUCGAGGCAACCUGCUUUCUUGUUCCUUGUGUUGCUAUUGGAUCCACCUAUGUACAACAACCCUUGUGCAAGCCAAGCCCUCUUCUUGGUCAGCACACCCGAGUCAUGACAUUGUGCCCACGACUCCCCUUUCAUCUCCUUGCACAAGGCAUUGUGCCCUUGUGCCACCUUGUUACCGUCCUAGGUCACUCAUAAGGCCAAGGUGCCACCCCAUGAUGCCUUAGUGUUGAAUGGUCCAUGUCAAGGGCUAACACUAGCCUUUAGGCCUUUUUUGUAUACUUUGUGUGCACUUGUGCAUCUUUUACUAGCGCUUUUUAAUAUGUUCCACCAUUUAUCUAUCAAAUAAUAAUAAUAAUAAUAAUUAAUGUCUACACAGAAUAAAAGAUGACCAUAAGCAACCAAAAGUGAUAUUAUUGGUGAAAUGUACUAAAAUAAGUUAUUAUAUAAAGAACUAAAAAGGGAAACAGAUUUUGGAUAACUUAUGUUCUAGGGCAAUUUAUAGUUCCAUGUCACAUGUAAAUACUAAGGAAUUCUUAUCAACAUCCACUCUAUUUCCCUACAAGGUUACAUUCCAACUUACAUUCAAUAAUAUGUGUUGAAGCAAACAACAAAAAGAGCGAGCCCUGCGACAUGCUCUGUUGAUAAAUUGGUAUCCUCUCUAUCUAGCAACAUAAACUCAUGCAGUUGUUCACACGUGUAAUUUUCUUCUUUUUAAUUUUACUAAUUGAGGUGGUUCAAUUUACAGUCCUAACCUCAAUUAAAUUCCAAUGUUCUUUCCAAUUUUGGUUCUAUUCCCAUUGAAUAUAUAGGCAUCUCUCUAAGGGCAUCUGUAGAUCUCCUUUCUGGAAGGAGGCUCCUUUAUGACAGAGACAGGGAGACAACGCCAUGUAGUGUGAGAUCCCACCAGAACCAAGAUCCUGGCAUUAGUGUACUUUUAACUGCUUAUUUUAAUUUUUAAGUAAAGAUUGUUUACUGAUGUAAUUAUGCCUGCUAUACCACACUUGAAUCCAAUAGAAAAAAAUAUAAAAUAUAAUUAAUUAUAAGCCAAUUCCCAGCACAAUUGUAAAAUUAGAUAAAUCCUUAAUUGUCUUUAGACAAGUUCAAGCAAUUACUACCAAAAUUUAUUCCCUGCAAAACUAAGAAUUACAUCUCCUCAACAAAUAAUACUACCACUUUUAAGAGGAAUGACCAUCAUCACUUA